rnacentral:rRNA from 1 species
UACGUAGGGUGCGAGCGUUGUCCGGAAUUAUUGGGCGUAAAGAGCUUGUAGGCGGUCUGUCGCGUCUGCUGUGAAAAUCCGGGGCUCAACCCCGGACUUGCAGUGGGUACGGGCAGACUAGAGUGUGGUAGGGGAGACUGGAAUUCCUGGUGUAGCGGUGAAAUGCGCAGAUAUCAGGAGGAACACCGAUGGCGAAGGCGGCAUCCUGGACCAACACUGACGCUGAGGAGCGAAAGCCAGGGGAGCAAACGGG